rnacentral:misc_RNA from 1 species
ACAGAUGUAAACUAUGGCGGAAAAUGUGGAAUCGAACGACCACGAUACGCAGGAUAAUCCAAUGAGAAGCAUUCUUAAACGGCGAAAACAGGAGGAAGAAAGUGAAGAAAAUCCAGUUAAAUCAGUUUUGAAAAAGCCGAGAACCUUAAGUCAGGAUGACAAGGAAGUGACUACCCCACAACCCAGGAGUAUUCUUAGAAAGAAAUCGGACAAUGCAAACGAAAACAGUAAGGUGACUCCAAAAGAAGAAACGGGAGAAACAGUUAAAACUUCGCCAGUCAAGAUUAAAACUGAAAGAACAUCGGAUUCAUCACCCCCUAAGAAGGCAAGCGAGGAAACUAGGUUGUCAAAAGCAGCCAGAUUGGUAGCUGCACCUAAAGCAGCUGAUGAUGAUGACGACUACGAUCUGUCCUUGACUUUGAUUUUGAGAAGCUUUGUUCUGUGUCACUCUCUCACAUAAAUGUCUACGCCUGUCUAGUCUGUGGAAAGUACUUCCAAGGACGAGGAAAGCUCUCUCAUGCCUAUACUCAUAGUGUUCUGGAUAGCCAUCAUGUGUUUCUGAAUUUAUUGACCCAGAAGUUUUACUGCUUGCCUGACAAUUAUCAGAUCAUUGACUCCUCCCUAGAUGACAUCAUUUAUGUUCUAAAUCCCACAUUUAGUAAUGAGCACAUAGCAUCCUUGGACUCGAGCAGUAAACUUUCUCGUGCAUAUGAUGGCACCACCUAUUUACCUGGAAUUGUGGGUCUCAACAAUAUCAAGGAGAAUGACUACUGCAAUGUGAUACUUCAGGCCUUGUCUCAUGUGACACCCUUGAGAAAUUUUUUUUUACAAGAAGACAACUACAAGAAGAUCAAGAGGCCCCCGGGGGACCAGAUGUUUCUUACUGUCCAGAGAUUUGGGGAACUUCUGAGGAAGCUCUGGAAUCCAAGAAAUUUUAAGGCUCAUGUCAGCCCCCAUGAGAUGUUACAAGCUGUUGUCUUGUGCAGUAAAAAGAAAUUUCAAAUCACGGAACAAGGUGAUGCCCUUGAGUUCAUGUCCUGGUUUUUAAAUGCUCUACACUUGGCAAUGAAUGGAACCAAGAAGCUGAACAGUACCAUUGUCAACAAAACUUUUAGAGGGAAAAUGAGAGUGUAUACAAGAAAGGUUUUGCCAAUUGAUUUGAAAGAAGAGGAAAAAGAGAAGCUUCUGUUGACGGAUGAAUAUUUAGAGCAUGCCGAGGAGAUUCCCUGGCUGUAUCUGACCUGUGACCUGCCCCCACCCCCACUUUACCCGGACGAACUCCAGGAGAACAUCAUUCCUCAGGUUCCCUUCGCUUCACUCUUGACCAAGUUUAAUGGAGUCUCGGAGAAGGAGUAUAAAACACACAAAGAUUCUCAGCUGAAACGCUUCCAGAUCACCAGAUUACCCAAUUUCCUCAUCAUUUUCAUCAAGAGGUUCACAAAGAAUUAUUUUAUUAAAGAAAAGAAUCCAACUAUUGUCAACUUCCCAAUCAAGAACAUUGAUUUUGGAGAUUUGCUAGCCCCAGAGCACCGAGUUUUACACAGAAACACCACCUACGACCUGAUGGCUAACAUUGUACAUGAUGGAGAGCCAGAGCGAGGCAAGGGGACGUACAGAGUCCAUGUUCUACACAAGGGUACCCAGAAAUGGUACGAAAUGCAGGACCUUCAUGUCACAGACAUCCUACCCCAGAUGAUCCCAUUGUCAGAGAGCUAUAUACAGAUAUUUGAGUUGAGAAAAGAUAUACCUAACCCAGUGUAUGGUAAAGAUCCUGUGGAACUGUCAGGAACACUCCCAGAGUCAAUGGAAGUGGGGAAAACGGCUGACACCUGAAUCUGACCGCUAACCGCCAAGGCUGCUGUGUGUGUGUCUGUCUUGACUCUCGAUGAUUGUUUUAUCAUACAUAUAAUUAUAUAUCGUUACUGGUACACUGUACAGUGUGUUCAAGAUCUCCAAUUAAAUCACUUGUGUACUGG